UACGGAGGGUGCAAGCGUUAUCCGGAUUCACUGGGUUUAAAGGGUGCGUAGGUGGGUUUGUAAGUCAGCGGUGAAAUCUCCGGGCUUAACUCGGAAACUGCCAUUGAUACUAUAGAUCUUGAAUUUUCUGGAGGUAAGCGGAAUAUGUCAUGUAGCGGUGAAAUGCUUAGAUAUGACAUAGAACACCAAUUGCGAAGGCAGCUUGCUACAGGAAUAUUGACACUGAGGCACGAAAGCGUGGGGAGCAAACAGG
rnacentral:rRNA from 1 species